UGAUUGCUUACGGUUUAGGUUUAUUUGUAACAUAUGUGGCUCUGAACUUGAUGGAUGGGCAUGGUCAACCUGCUUUGCUAUAUAUAGUUCCUUGCACAUUAGGCACGUUUUUGAUGUUGGGAAAGAAAAGAGGUGAGUUGAAGCAUCUAUGGACAAGAGGAGAACCAGAUAGGCCUUGCCCUCAUAUCCGACUUCAACCGGCAGAGUAAAUUAGAUGUUGUACUAUAUCUGUAAUCACAUGUAGCUCUGAUUUGUCAAAAUAUAAAGUUAGGGUACAUAUUUUAGAAAUCUGAAAGAGGUUAGAGUUUUGAAAGUCAUACAUAGGUUACUUAGGUUGCUCCCCGACCCCGACCGAUGUUGAGUACAUUGUUGUUAACCAUAUAGCAUGUAGUUUUUCUUUGGGACCAUUUUUCAAUUUGUACGUUUUCAUGCUAAUCUUUUUUGUAUCGUAAGAAGGAACGAGUAGUUUACUGUUAUGCAUUUGACAUGAGUUGCAAAGAUAUUUAUACCGCUUUUGCAGUUUGCAAGGCGUUCAUGCCU